CCAGCACGCGAUGUCCCCCUCCAUUGGCCUCUGGCCGCAAGCCCCGUCGCCGCCCGAAGAUGUCAUCCGCCGUGGCCGCAACUCCGCUGGCUACACUGAUCCUCUGGUGCUCCUCUCGUCGCCCUCGGGCGCGGGCCAUCGCCCCGAGCUCACCGGUGGUCGGAGCAUGGCAAACGAUGGCCGGAGCCGUCCGGACGGGCGCCGAAGCCGCGCUCCUUCCUCUGCCCCGUCGGGCAAGCGCGAGGAAGGAGACGAAGGCCCCGUCCCAGCUGGCCAGUGGGCCCUCGGCCCCACCUGUUGGCGGGCAGGCGUUGACCCGCCUGCCUAGCUGGAUAAGUGAUGGGCCCCACCGCCCGUGGGACCCGCAUGUCAGCAUCAGACGUGCCCGGCCCCGCCUCUGCUGACUGGGUAAGUGGAAACAUAUUUCCCUGUUUACGUUUUCACUAAGAGAAAGCGUAAACACAUGUGGCCUCUACCCAGAUUAUGUUUUCCCUGUUUGAAAGCGUAUUUUGUUUCCUCUGUGUCUCAAGUACGCUUUCCCUUUGCAGAAGACAUAUUCCCUCAAAAGGCGUUUUCUGUUUUAGCCACCAGGGGUUUGUUUGUAGAGAUUCUUUUUAUAGUUUGGUCCCUGGACUUCGUCAGGUUAUAUCUUUUUGCUUGCAACUCCAAAUGAGGUGAAUCCAAAGCCUAUUUCUUCGUCUCGUUGAGCCUAUUCUGUUGAUCACAGUUUAACCAUGUGUUAAUAUUCUGGAAAUGACCUUUUUGCCCUUGCACGUAACAACCCCUCCAAGAGAGAACUGUUUUCAGCAAAUUUUUCCGCGACUUCACCGAACUUCUCCCCGGUGCCUUCUUCAUCCCCAGGCAAGCCACAAUGCCCACUUGCAUGAUAGUCAUGCAGUAUCCAUGGUUUUCAACUUGAAUAUUUAUUAAAUGUUUGCUAGUUUAAAAUAUGGUUAUCAUUGUUUCGGUAAUGCUUCUGGGUUAGUGCUUACUUUCUUGCUAUGUUGUUAUGCACCUGGUUAUCAUGCCCUGCUAGUUGCUAGUAUUCCUUUCGUACGCUUAGGCUUGCUAUUAGUACAUGUUGAUGUUGGUGAUGGUCUUCGGUGCAUGACUGCCGUCUGUCCUGAGUAUCGUUGUUAUGCAUGUUCCAUUGUAUCCAGUUAGUUAAAUGCUUGCAUGAUGGCAUUGUUGAUAUGUUCUUGCAUGAUAUUUAUUAUUGAUACUAGUGGUCAUACUAUGUUUCUGAGAAGUAUGUACUUGUGAUGUUCAUGCUAGUCAGUAUGCCAUGCUCAAAUGGAUAAUUCAUUGUCGAUAUGGUUAAUAGUUAUGUUGCACCUCCAUGCUUAUGUUGAUAUCAUGUUCAUGCAUUGUAAUUUGCAUCAUGUUAUUUUAUCAUGGCUCAGCAUAGUUUGCAUGCAAGUUUAACCGGAUUAAAUUGAACUUGAACAACAUUUGGGUGAGUCAUGGUGCCACCAUAUCGAGCUGACCAGUGCAACCAAGCUUGCCUUUAUGGGAAGGUCCUAACUGGAUCUAUUAUCAUGCAUCUCGCCGGUGCCUCCCACGAGGGAAGGUUAUGGGCGCGCGCUACCCUGAUAAGUUAGGCGGACAUAAGCCUUGUGUGCCCGUUGUUGUUAUAUCCGGAUUGUCCCCGUUUGGGACCAUUUUGCCAUGAUGGUGGCUGUUUUACCACGACGGUGGCCAUUGGUGUCUUUGGUAGACAUGGGGCCACCUAGGACUUAGCCCAGUGGGGAGUGAGUCGGAGUGGCCGGGAGAGUGUCAUGGUAGUAGAUCGGUUUUGUAGGAACGCCGUUGGUCCACCCGAAUGGGAGCGCGAGGCCGUGCCCGCGGAUAAGGGCCCAGUUCAUAGUUGGUCACACUAUGGGUCAACAAUAUUAAUAAUAAUGAUGUGCUUAAUAACAACCCCGGUUCGAUGAUGAGAUAAGUUGGAUUUGUGAUCCGUGAACGAUCACAGUUUGGUUACGAGGUAACCCGCUGAACCAAGUGUGGUUUCGUUUGUGAUCCGUGAACGAUCGCCAUUUGGUUACGAGGUAACCCGUUGAACCAAGUGUGGUUCCGUUUGUGAUCUGUGAGUGAUCACCAUGGUAUCUAGGAUACCGAGUUGUUGGAUAUUCAUGAUGUUGUGCGAGAAUCGUGGGUAAAGAUCAAGCUCCUUGUGGUCAUUUAAUGAUUACUGUGGUAUUGUUUAUACCAAGCUUGGUUUGGUCCUAAGAGGAUUGUGUGAUGUCCGAGGUUGGUAAGUGAUGCAUGUGAUGGUCAUGAGGUAACCCGGACAGAAUAAAUGGUGCAUGAUAGUGUCAUCAUGUUGCAUGCUAGUAUCGUCAUAUUCAUAUGUUCAUGCCAUGUUCAUGUUGUUCUAGCUGUAUCAUGUUCAUGUUAUGUUGUUCUGAUGAUAUCCUGAUAAUCCCUGCUUAACCUGUAAUUGCCAUGUUGUUGUUUGUCUUGAAUGCUUCUGAUAAUUGUGAUCUUGCAAGUACAUUCAAUGUACUGACCUGGCAUGUUAUGCAAGUUUGCAGGUCAUGCCAGAUUUGAUUGCUUGUUUGCUGUGCAUUCCUUGUUUGCGAGCUAGGAUAAGCGUUCCAGUCAGAGUCCCUGCAGAGUGGAGUUGACCACCAUCGCCGUUGUUCCGCUGCUAGAAGUUAUUCCGCUGCUUUGAGUUGUUCUGCUGCUUGCAUAGAGCAACAAUGGCAGGCAUAGUGUCACCAUGCCGAUGUAAUCCCUUGUACCCAAAUAGAUUGUAAUAAAGAGCUAGUUUGUUCUAUGCUAAGCAGUGCUGUAUUCCAGAAGACUUCUCCUCAAUCUUUGGGCUGAAACACGGGGCGUUCCGGUUUCUCUGGGCCGGGGUGCCACAGCGUUGCCGCAUCGCACGGCACCCUCGAUAUCUCAUUGUGCUCGCCGCAUCGCAUGGAUGCCGACAUCUCGUCUUCUUCACGCGUACAGCUGAAGCUUCACUAGACCCUAGACUAAACUACAUGCAAUAUUCAACAUGCAGAUACCUAAUGACAUGAUUAG
rnacentral:lncRNA from 1 species